rnacentral:rRNA from 1 species
GAUGAACGCUGGCGGCGUGCCUAAUACAUGCAAGUCGAGCGAACAGACGAGAAGCUUGCUUCUCUGAUGUUAGCGGCGGACGGGUGAGUAACACGUGGAUAACCUACCUAUAAGACUGGGAUAACUUCGGGAAACCGGAGCUAAUACCGGAUGAUAUUUUGAACCGCAUGGUUCAAUAGUGAAAGACGGUCUUGCUGUCACUUAUAGAUGGAUCCGCGCUGCAUUAGCUAGUUGGUAAGGUAACGGCUUACCAAGGCAACGAUGCAUAGCCGACCUGAGAGGGUGAUCGGCCACACUGGAACUGAGACACGGUCCAGACUCCUACGGGAGGCAGCAGUAGGGAAUCUUCCGCAAUGGGCGAAAGCCUGACGGAGCAACGCCGCGUGAGUGAUGAAGGUCUUCGGAUCGUAAAACUCUGUUAUUAGGGAAGAACAAAUGUGUAAGUAACUGUGCACAUCUUGACGGUACCUAAUCAGAAAGCCACGGCUAACUACGUG